rnacentral:rRNA from 1 species
UACGAAGGGGGCUAGCGUUGUUCGGAAUUAUUGGGCGUAAAGCGCACGUAGGCGGCUCUUUAAGUCGGGGGUGAAAUCCUGGAGCUCAACUCCAGAACUGCCUUCGAUACUGAAGAGCUCGAGUCCGGGAGAGGUGAGUGGAACUGCGAGUGUAGAGGUGAAAUUCGUAGAUAUUCGCAAGAACACCAGUGGCGAAGGCGGCUCACUGGCCCGGUACUGACGCUGAGGUGCGAAAGCGUGGGGAGCAAACAGG